CGAGAUUUACGCUCCUGUUGGCGAGCUUGCUGAAAGCGGAGGGAGUUAGAAGAAGGUUGUGAACAUUUUUAAAGCAUUUGUGCCGGCAACAGUUAGUUUUCAUAUUCCAUAAUGACGUUGUGUCGAAACAUGAACUUGAAUGCAGAUCGUCCGCCAUGAAAGAAGACUGCUGAUAAAACCUGGACCAACGUGGGGUGAACAAGGCUAUCCUGCCUGCGAUGAGAUCAUGUAACAGCAAUGAUUUGAUGUCCAAGGUUGCCGAAGCUUCAUUUCCGCUUUCACUGCGCAAGCCUGCGAAGAGGUGUCGUGUUAAAGGUGUGACACAGUUGCCUGCACAUCUGAGAUGGCCGAUGGGUCCUGAAGUGGGGAAAAAAAGCAGGUUGAAUUAAAGAAGAGGCAGAUGCAUCACCACCUUGUGCUCAGUGAAGUUACCGGACAAGAUUAAUGGAUCACUCCUUGCAAAUGGAAUAUUUUAACCUUGACUGUGAAUGUUAAUCAGUCUGGUCUCCUGGUCAAAUAAAACCAUGACUAAUUCAUGACCCUUUUGUAUUCAUGUAAGAGCCAAGAAAGAUUGCUGUAAAGUGUUUAAUAAACUUUAAAGCAUGAUAUAUCAAA